UUGAUUCGUUUGUCUGUGACUCAGAGGAGAGGCGCCGCGGAGGGCGAAGGCAGGGUUUCGGGUCCGCCGAGGCAACUACGGUACGUUCACAGGGGUUUGGAGUCUGGGGACUCUGUAAUGAUCCCUCCGCUGGUUCACCAACGGAGA
rnacentral:misc_RNA from 1 species